GUGUAAUUAGGCAUCUAAUAUAUAUUAAAGAAGGGGAUCUUCGGACCUUUCGGUUGAGGAAGAGUUUAUGCGAUAUCAGCUUGUUGGUGGGGUAAAAGCCCACCAAGGCGAUGACGUCUAGGCGGAUUGAGAGAUUGACCGCCAACACUGGGACUGAGACACUGCCCAGACUUCUACGGGAGGCUGCAGUCGAGAAUCUUUCGCAAUGGACGAAAGUCUGACGAAGCGGCGCCGCGUGUGUGAUGAAGGCCUUAGGGUUGUAAAGCACUUUCGCCUGGGAAUAAGAGAGAUUGGCUAAUAUCCAAUCGAUUUGAGCGUACCGGGUAAAGAAGCACCGGCUAACUCCGUGCCAGCAGCUGCGGUAAUACGGAGGGUGCUAGCGUUAAUCGGAUUUAUUGGGCGUAAAGGGCGUGUAGGCGGAAAGGAAAGUUAGAUGUUAAAUUUUGGGGCUCAACCCCAAGUCAGCAUUUAAAACUAUCUUUCUAGAGGAUAGAUGGGGAAAAGGGAAUUCCACGUGUAGCGGUGAAAUGCGUAGAUAUGUGGAAGAACACCAGUGGCGAAGGCGCUUUUCUAAUUUAUACCUGACGCUAAGGCGCGAAAGCAAGGGGAGCAAACAGGAUUAGAUACCCUGGUAGUCCUUGCCGUAAACGAUGCAUACUUGAUGUGGAUGGUCUCAACCCCAUCCGUGUCGGAGCUAACGUGUUAAGUAUGCCGCCUGAGGAGUACACUCGCAAGGGUGAAACUCAAAAGGAUUGACGGGGGCCCGCACAAGCAGUGGAGCAUGUGGUUUAAUUCGAUGCAACGCGAAGGACCUUACCUGGACUUGACAUGUAUUUGACAACUGUAGAAAU
rnacentral:rRNA from 1 species